UACGAAGGGGCUAGCGUUGUUCGGAAUUAUCUGGGCGUAAAGAGCUCGUAGGUGGUUUGUCGCGUUGUUCGUGAAAUCUCACGGCUUAACUGUGAGCGUGCGGGCGAUACGGGCAGACUAGAGUACUGCAGGGGAGACUGGAAUUCCUGGUGUAGCGGUGGAAUGCGCAGAUAUCAGGAGGAACACCAGUGGCGAAGGCGGGUCUCUGGGCAGUAACUGACGCUGAGGAGCGAAAGCGUGGGGAGCGAACAGG
rnacentral:rRNA from 1 species